UGGACAACAGAUGCCAAGGGUGUUAGUGUACUCCUCCCUGAGAGGCUGCAUGGGACUAAACUGCCGGGGACCGGACGUCCGAACUAAGCAAAGCUAGAGCCCUACCCUGAGCAGAUCCCUGAGAAGGGCUUGACCUUUUCAAAGAACUUGUCCCCGGAAGACUGUUGCCUCAUUGUCUAAGGAGAAUAUCUUGCAGUUUAAUGAUUUACCUUAUGUCCUUGGGCACUUCCCAGUACUCCCCCGCCCUAAGCUUCAGUUCCUGCUUCAAUUCCUGCUUCAGAGCUUUAAAUGCUGUACAUUCCUCUCAAUAAACGAGACCUUGACAACAGAACCUUGCUUGGUCUCCUUCUUUUCAACCCUCCUUGACCCUCAGGUAGCGCCUCUUCUGGACCCUGAAUAACUGGACAUGCUGGAAGGGUCAAGUGGUGCCUGAACAGGGACCCGAAGCACGGCCAACUACCGGAUGAAGGAGACAGGAGAUCCGCGGAGAGAUUGAGGACUCUUCAGGCCGCAUCGCUCGGGUGUUGCUGGAGAGGGAGAUCAUGCUGACCAUGUUCCCCUUCAUCUGGAUCCCUGGAAGCAUCAUCACGUCUGCCCUUGCUAUAUCGCCUCACCAGAUCUUCAACUAUACCUGGGUGAUUCUUAAUGGCACCAGAGAUGUGGUGUCUGCCAACUCCACCACCGCUGCACGAGUUCCCUGGCCCAAUCUUGAGUUCCUGCAGUUCUGGGAAAGAGGCACCUCCAUGCGUACAGAGAACCCAUCACUGCCGUGACUCUUGCAGUACUCCUAGGCCUGUCAGCUGUGGGGACAGGAACUGGGGUUGCCUCCCUGAUCACCUCCCAACAGAGUUAUCAUCAGCUCAGUGCUGCCAUAGACAGGGACAUUAGUGAGCUAUAACAAGGAAUAACCUAUCUUAAAGACUCAGUUGCUUCCUUGGCUGAGGUUGUUCUACAAAAUAGAAGGGGAUUAGAUCUUCUCUUUCUCCAACAGGGAGGGCUCUGUGCAGCCCUCAAGGAGUGUUGCUUUUAUGCUGAUAAGACAGGAUUAGUAGUAAACAGCCUACAAAAAGUUAGAGAAAGUUUACAAAAGAGACAAAGAGAAAGAGAAAAGAGUGAAGCCUGGUAUAAAAAUUGGCUUUCUGCCUCUCCUCUGCUCACCAUUCUUCUACUCAGUAUCCUGGGUCCCUUUAUAGGACUCCUGCUGCUCAUCUCCUUUGGUCCAUGGGUGCUUAGAAAGUUAACUGAUUUUAUCAAGGCACAGGUAGAUUCAGCUACCAAGCAGGUCUCAGUCCAUUACCACCACCUCCAUUGUGAGGAGGCUGAGACAACCAGGGAGUGUGAUACUCCCCUUGGGUCGCCCUCGGCUGGCCUUGACUUCUCCACCCUAAAUACCACCUAUAACUCAGGCUGGAAAAUCAAUCGCUGGUGGAAGUGUCAAUGACAGGAAUAAUAUGGUGCCACAAUACCAGGCGCACACCUCACCACUGUGAAGUAACCCUACAACGGGAUUAGCACGGGUCCAUGAUCUGGGUUGCCCACUCUCACAAAACACACACGUAUAGCCCAGAACGGUGUGUUAAAGCAUAAGAUCAUUCCUAGCCAUUGGGGUGCAGUCCUAACUGCAAGAGUGGCUCACCAUGGCCGAGCUGGGCACUCUGUGAAGCAUGUCUGACCAAUCUCAGACAACUACUUCCACCCUGGCAGAAAUAAUGGAACCUAAGUGAGAGUGCCAGACGUAGGGGCAACCUGUGUAGACUAAGACACCGGGCUUCACUGACCAGGUGCUGGUUGUGGAUACACACCAUAUAGACAGAACAUCCUCCCACUGAUAGUUAAGGAAAGGUGGAGACUAAACCUCACUGAGUUUAUUAAGCUAAGAGCAGGAGCAUCCGUUUCCACUCAGUUAAAAUGUAGCCAUCUCACUGCUGAUACCACACUGCUUUACCUGCUGUUGAUUUCUUCUCAGUUAGCAGGUGGGUCCUUGGGUCACGGAGUGAAGACAGCCAUGCUGUGCUGGGGUGAGCACACUGCAGUUUGGUGGUUGGGAGAAUAGUCAUGGCUUUUGAGUAGCAAGUGGGUGAUCCUGGAGAGCUCUUGGAAGUCCCCCCCCCCCCCAGCAAAUUUACGCUCUGAGUUUAAUGAUGGUAAGGGUAUACAGUUGAUGCCCUGUAUUUCUUUUUAUAGUUGUAGUAUUUCUAUCUUAGAACUGGAAGAAUUAUAUGACUUCAAGGACCUUCUUAUCUCCAGGCAUUGCAGACCCUGAGAUGAAAUUGUUGGCUCGUUAUAGAGCUCACUUCUAAGUUUCCUUCGUGUACUUCUAAAGAAAAACUCUACUUCUACACCUAGUCCACCACCAUUCAAAAGGCUGAUGUUAGCAGGUACCAUAGUCUCCCUGCUCUCAGGAAGGCCCUUGGCGAAGGGAGUCCACUGAAACCCAGAGGCCACUGCUGGCAUUAGAUGUGUCUGCCUUUCAGCUAUCCCAUAAUGCCUCUGUGCACUAAGGGUGGAGUUCACAGCCUGAUGACAUUGGCACUUUGUGCUUCCUUAUAGUGAAUGGUGUUACAACCAGAGAUUCCUCAACAAUGCUACUGUAUGGUUGCGCUGUCAGACACUUCAAAUAAUUUUCACAAAUAACCCCUCUCCUCUGGGCACAUGGAACCCACUGUGCUUGAUAAGCACUUUUUCUUCAUGUGUGGUUUUUCCAAUCCUUAGAACCUCCCCAGAUGAGGGUCUGUUCUUCAGACCUUUCCAGAUGAGAAAACUAAACUGCAAGGUAAGAGCAAGAUGGACAGGCACGAGAGGCUGGGCCUCGUCUCAGGACCCCCACCUUGCAUUUAAAAUGCUUGACACUCCUUGGCCUCCCCUCUUCCCGACAUGGCGUUCCUGCCAGACUGUGUGCUGCCAGAACACACUGUACUAGCACAAGAAUCAGCAGCUCGGGAUGGAGGGUGGGAGAAGCACUGGAGGCAAUGGAAAAGAUCCUAUCCUUCAGAGGAAGCAAAACAAAAUGAUGUGGUAGCAAUAAAGUCACAUGGCAUCCUGGUGUAGAAGAAAGAAACAUCGUUUUGGUGUUUCCAAAUCCCCAUUUAAUUUUAGUUUGCAAAGAACUAAUAAAUUCACAUGGCUCAAGAAUCAAAAGGCAAAGAGAGUACGGUGAGAAGUAACUCUUCUCCCUCUAUCUUUGUGACCUCAUUUCUCCCUUUUUAUACAAUGAAUGUUGCCAGCAUUUGUAUUUCGGUGAUCUUAAACACACAUGCAAGCAGAACAUUCUACACUCUAUGACUACUCCCAUUCCUAAACAUUGUCAUGUCGAAUUGUACAUGAUAUCUUCCUAUCUUUUAAAAUUACAUUAGCAUUCUAUUACAUGAACAUACUAUGGCUUCAUUUAACAAAUUCUCUAUUACUAAAGCCCUUCAGUUAAAUUCUGUUAUUACAAGCUGAACCAAGUAACACUGUGCAAUACAUGCCUAAGGGAGCUGGGCUUCAGUAUGAGUUCUCACACUGCGUAGCCCCAGGUGAGUCAGUUGUGUUCUCAGCUUCUAGAGAUGAGAAUCAGAAAUGCAGUCAGGAGGAGUGCAACAUUUCCCCAGUCACAUCCAUGGACACUUCCCCAACACCAAUAUCUGCACUGAAGGAAUAUGAAUUAAAUCCAAGUUUCACAAAUUUAUUAUCUCCUGCUUUAAUUAUUUGACAAACUGGAUAAUUAAUAUUUUUACAAUGUACUCUGAAGAAACAAACCUAGACUAGCUACACUAUCUUUUGUUUUGUAGCUAGGACGCAGUUUUGGAUGUUCAGCGUCGGAAACAUGAUAGAACAGUGUGAUAGCUCAUUUUGAUUGGCAGUCACUUUGGAGACAACCCCAUGAACAUGCCUGUGGAGGAGCAGGACUGGGUUAAAUGUCGGGGGCACUGAUCCAUGUGCUGGGGUCCUAAGAGUACCAACAUUGAUUGCUAUUGCUUCUCGAAUCACAGUCCUGUUACUGUGCCUUCCUCUCACAAUGGAUUUGUAUUCUUGAAAUGUAAUCCAAAAUAGAUCUUUCUUUCCUAGUGUUGCUUUAAAAACUUUAGAGAACUUAAUAUUAUCUGUGUGUAUGAUAUGUGUAUGUGCAUGUAUGUCUUUGGGCAUGCUCAUGCCAUAGUGUGGAGGAAGGACAACAACUUGAGGGGUCUGAGGACUGAACUCAUGUCAGCAGGCUUGGGUGGCAAGCACUUUAUGCACUGACCCCACUCUUUCCAGCAUUUAAGUUGCUUUUGUUGGUGUUCUGUUGCAACAAGGAAAAAAAUGAACACAAACUGUUGGACCCUCCUGGACUCUUGUCAGUGUUUGCUCCCUGCUGAGCCUUGCUGAUGCAUGUGAAGGAACAUCCGGGCCUUCCUAUUCCCUCCAUAGGCUAUAGGGUGUGCUAACACCUGAACUCUAGAUCCUUUGACCUCAAGCCCUAGUUUCAGUUUCCCUGCUGAGAAUGUAAAUUGGUUUCUCCAUUGUGCUUCUACUCAGUGGUUGGGGUAUAUAUUCUGUGUGCCAGGAAAAAGUUUUGGCAUUCAUUUUCUUGAAACAUGAGUGACCCGAAUCUGUGUGUUUCUUUUUAAAUCUCACAGGCCAGCACCCGGUUCUCAGUGUCCUGACGAUGCAGGCAUUGUCAAAUGGAGGUCCCACCGAGAUCGGGUAGAGAGGAGUACAUGAUGAGAUUGUCCCAGGAAGCCGCCGGCAAAGAAGGAGGGACAUACUGGGGGAAAAUGAGCCAAGAAAGGCCUCACUUAGCAGGAUACAGAAGGAGACCGUAGGAAUUGAAAGCAUGUACAAAGCAUUGGGCCAGUGGUGAGUAACCCUUCUAAAAAGGGACAAUGUAAUAAUGGUAAAGUGUUUUCGUGUAUGUGUUCUUUUAUGCGUUUAGUCUUUGGACCCUGACUAGAGAUAGUUUACACCCUAGACAUGAGAGAGAAUGGGUUUCAGAAAAACAGUCCUCCCAGACUCUCCGCAGAUGCUUUGGAGAAAGAGAAGGAAAAUGAGUUUAAGCUUUUUUGGAACUCUCCUAGGGACAGAAGGAGGGUAGGAGCCUCCUUGCUGGUCCUAUAGGAGAAGUGCUUAUUUCUGGUUCUGGGUCCUUUAGGAAGGAUAUCUGGGUCCCUUUGGUGUGGGACACCAUUUAGUUCUUUCCCUUUAUGUUUAUUGUCUGUCCUUGGUGCACCAAGCUGUCCAUGUCUGUCAGUCCAUGUCUGUGGUUUUUGCUUCUUGUUGCUUGAAUGUUUUGUGUUUCAUGUUUAAAAGAAAAAAAUGGUUAAAACUUUAAAUGCUGGUUGAUUCACCCCAUGAUUUAGUUUUAACUCAUUUCAAAAAAGGAACAAAUAAAUAAAGAGCAGUUUCAAUUGGCCUUUGCCCUCCAUCUCUAGUUUGGAGCCUAGGUCAGUUGGAGAAGCCCCACCAGGGUGCUGAAUGUUUGCAUGAGCAGAUCUUAAAGGGGCCAGCAGUUUCACAGCUUCUAUGGUAAUGGAGCUAAUGGCUGUUUCUCUUAGAAAAAAUCUUUGACUAUGAUUAUUGGAUUCAACAGGUGACAAGGUACUUCUCUUAAAAUUACAGCUAGAAAAGUAAAAAUGGUGAUUGGUUUAAACAUUAAAGAUACGUGAAGUCACUUCAUUUUUUGUUUCUGAUUGGUUUUAAAUGUAUAAUAUGCUCUACAUGUCUUGGUUAUAGAUUACUGACUUUUUUUUUUUUUUUAGAUAUCGGCAAGAUAUUUUAUUUAGGUCGUAAGUUCAAUAAAGAACAAAAAAUAGAAACAAAAUACAUUUCCCAUUGAAUUAAAACACAUCCUUCCUGUGUGCCCCAUUCCCUAACAGCUCUACUCUGCUCCUGUCCAAAGCAUUGUUUCUUGUAAUAGUAUAUAAUAGAUAUUUUUUUUCAUCUUUAUUAACUUGGGUACUUCUUAUUUACAUUUCAAUUGUUAUUCCCUUUCCUGGUUUCCUGGCCAACAUCCCCCUAACCUCUCCCUCUCCCCUUCUAUAUGGGUGUUCCCCUCCCCAUCCUCCCACCAUUACCGCCCUCCCCCCAACAAUCGCAUUCACUGGGGGUUCAGUCUUGGCAGGUCCAAGGGCUUCCCCUUCCACUGGUGCUCUUACUAGGCUAUUCAUUGCUACCUAAGAGGCUGGAGCCCAGGGUGAAUCCAUGUAUAGUCUUUGGGUAGUGGCUUAGUCCCUGGAAACUCUGGUUGGUUGGCAUUGUUGUUCAUAUGGGGUCUCAAGCCCUUUGAAGUUCUUUCAGUCCUUUCUUUGAUUCCUUCAAUGGGGGUCCCUUUCUCAGUUCAGUGGUUUAAUGAUGGCAUUCGUCUAUGUAUUUGCUGUAUCCUGGGUGUGUCUCUCAGGAGAGAUCUACAUUCAGUUCCUGUCAGCCUGCACUUCUUUCCUUCAUCCAUCUUAUCUAGUUUGGUGGCUGUAUAUGUAUGGGCCACAUGUGGGGCAGGCUCUGAAUGGAUGUUCCUUCUGCCUCUGUUCUAAACUUUGCCUCCCUAUUUCCUCCGAAGGGUAUUCUUGUUCCCCUUUUAAAGAAGGAGUGAAGCAUUCGAAUUUUGGUCAUCCUUCUUGAGUUUCAUGUGUUCUGUGCAUCUAGAGUAAUUCGAACAUUUAGGCUAAUAUCCAGUUAUCAAUGAGGGCAUACCAUGUAUAUUUUUCUGUGAUUGGGUUACCUCACUCAGGAUGAUAUUUUCCAGUUCCAUCCAUUUGCCUAUGAACUACAUAAAGUCACUGUUUUGAUAGCUAAGUAAUAUUCCAUUGUGUAGAUCACCACAUUUUCUGUAUCCAUUCCUCUGUUGAAGGGCAUCUGGGCUCUUUCCAGUUACUGGCUAUUAUAAAUAAGGCUGCUAUGACCAUAGUGGAGCAUGUGUCUUUGUUAUUUGUUGGGGCAUCUCUUUGUUAUACGUAAGAGAGGUAUAGCUGGGUCCUCAGGUAGUUCAAUAUCCAAUUUUCUGAGGAACCUCAAGACUGAUUUCCAGAAUGGUUGUACCAGUCUGCAAUCCCACCAAAAAUGGAGGAGUGUUCCUUUUUCUCUACAUCCUCGCCAGCAUUUGCUGUCACCUGAGGUUUUGAUCUUAGCCAUUCUCACUGGUGUGAGGUGAAAUCUCAGGGUUGUUUUGAUUUGCAUUUCCCUUAUGACUAAAGAUGUUGAACAUUUCUUUAGGUGUUUCUCAGCCAUUCGGCAUUCCUCAACUAUGAAUUCUUUGUUUAGCUCUGAACCCAUUUUUUAAUAGGGUUAUUUGUCUCCCUGCAGUCUAACUAUUGAGUUCUUUGUAUAUUUUGGAUAUAAGGCCUCUAUCAGUUGUAGGAUUGAUAAAGAUCUUUUCCCAAUUUGUUGGUUGUUGUUUUGUCCUAACCACAGUGUCCUUUGCCUUACAGAAGCUUUGCAGUUUUAUGAGAUCCCAUUUGUCAAUAAGCCAUUGGUGUUUUGUUCAGGAAAUUUUCUCCUGUGCCCAUGUGUUCAAGAUUCUUCCCCACUUUUUCUUCUAUUAGUUUGAGUGUAUCUGGUUUGAUGUGGAGGUUCUUGAUCCACUUGGACUUAAGCUUUGUACAGGGUGAUAAGCAUAGAUCAAUUUGCAUUCUUCUACAUGUUGACCUCCAGUUGAACCAGCACCAUUUGCUGAAAAUGCUAUCUUUUUUCCAUUGGAUGGAUUCGACUCCUUUGUCAAAAAUCAAGUGACCAUAGGUGUGUGGGUUCAUUUCUGGGUCUUCAAUUCUAUUCCACUGGUCUAUCUGCCUGUGUCUGUACCAAUACCAUGCAGUUUUUAUCACUAUUGCUCUGUAAUACUGCUUGAGUUCAGGGAUAGUGAUUCCCCCUGAAGUCCUUUUAUUUUUGAGGAUAGUUUAAGCUAUCCUGUGUUUUUUGUUAUUCCAGAUGAAUUUGCCAAUUGUUCUAUAUAACUCUCUGAAGAAUUGGAUUGGUGUUUUUGAUGGGGAUUGCAUUGAAUCUGUAUAUCGCUUUUGGUAAAAUGGCCAUUUUUACUAUAUUAAUCCUUCCAAUCCAUGAGCAUGGGAGGUCUUUCCAUCUUCUGAGAUCUUCUUCAAUUUCUUUCUUCAGAGGCUUGAAGUUCUUAUCAUACAGAUCUUUCACUUGCUUGGUUAAAGUCAGGCCAAGGUAUUUUAUAUUAUUUGGGACUAUUAUGAAGGGUGUUAUUUCCCUAAUUUCUUUCUCGGCUUGUUUCUCUUUUGUGUAGAGGAAGGCUACUGAUUUAUUUGAGUUAAUUGUUUACCCAGCAACAUUGCUGAAGGUGUUUAUCAGGUUUAGAAGUUCUCUGGUGGAACUUUUGGGAUCACUUAAAUAUACUAUCAUAUCAUCUGCAAAAGGUGAUCUUUUGACUUGUUUUUUUCCAAUCUGAAUCCCUUUGAUCUCCUUUUGUUGUCUGAUUGCUCUGGCUAGAAUUUCAAGAUCUAUAUUGAAUAAGUAGGGAGACAGUGGGCAGCCUUGUCUAGUCCCUGAUUUUAGUGGUAUUGCUUCAAAUUUCUCUCCAUUUAGUUUAAUAUUAGCUACUGAUUUGCUGUAUAAGGUUUUUACUAUGUUUAGGUAUGGGCCUUAAAUUCCUAUUCUUUCCAGGACUUUUAUCAUGAAGGGGUGUUGAAUUUUGUCAAAUACUUUCUCAGCAUCUAAUGAAAUGACCAUGUGGUUUUUAUCUUUCAGUUUGUUUAUAUAGUGGAUUUUGUUGAUGGUUUUUCAUAUAUUAAACCAUCCCUGUAUGCCUGGGAUGAAGCCUACUUGAACAUGGUGGAUGAUUGUUUUGAUGUGCUCUUUGAUUAGGUUUGCAAGAAUUUUAUUGAGUAUCUUUGCGUCAAUAUUCAUAAGGGAAAUUGGUCUGACGUUCCUUUCUUUGUUGGUUCUUUGUGUGGUUUAGGUAUAAGAGUAAUUGUGGUUUCAUUGAAGGAUUUCGGCAGCACUCCAUAUGUUUCAAUUUUGUGGAAUAGUUUGGAUAGUAUUAUUAUGAGGUCUUCUAUGAAGGUCUGAUAGAAUUCUGCACUAAACCCGUCUGGACCUGGGCUCUUUUUGGUUGGAAGACCUUAAAUGACUGCUUCUAUUUCUUUAGGAGUUAUUGGGUUGUUUAAAUGGUUUUUCUGUUCCUGAUUUAACCUCAGUACCUGGUAUCCGUCUAGGAAAUUGUCCAUUUCCUCCAGAUUUUCUAGUUUCGUUGAAUAUAGGCUUUUAUAGUAAGAUCUGAUGAUUUUUUGAAUUUCCUCUGAAUCUGUAGUUAUGUCUCCCUUUUCAUUUCUGAUUUUGUUAAUUUGGACACACUCUCUGUGUCCUCUGGUUAGUCUGGCUAAGGAUUUAUGUAUCUUGUUGAUUUUUUCAAAGAACCAGCUUUUGGUUCUGUUGAUUCUUUGUAUAGUCCUUUUUGUUUCUAUUUGGUUGAUUUCAGCUCUGAGUUUGAUUAUUUCCUGCUUUCUACUCCUCCUGGGUGUAUUUGUUUCUUUUUGUUCUAGAGCUUUUAGGUGUGCUGUCAAGCUGCUGAUAUAUGCUCGCUCCUGUUUCUUUCUGCAGGCACUCAGAGCUAUGAGUUUUCCUCUUAGCACAGAUUUCAUUUUGUCCCAUAACUUUGGGUAUGCUGUACCUUCAUUUUCAUUAAAUUCUAAGAAGUCUUUAAUUUCUUUAUUUCUUCCUUGACCAGGUCAUCAUUGAGUAGAGCAUUGUUCAACUUCCAUGUAUAUGUUGGCAUUCUUCCCUUAUUGUUAUUGAAGACCAGCUCUAGUCCGUGGUGGUCUGAUAGGACACAUGGUAUUAUUUCUAUUUUUCUGUAUCUGUUGAGGCCUGUUUUAUGACCAAUUAUAUGGUCAAUUUUGGAGAAAGUACCAUGAGGUGGUGAGAAGAAGGUAUAUCCUUUUGUUUUAGGAUAGAAUGUUUUAUAACUAUCUGUUAAGUCCAUUUGGUUCAUGACUUCUCUUAAUCUGUCUACGUCUCUGUUUAAUUUCUGCUUCCAUGAUCUGUCCAUUGAUGACAGUGGGGUGUUGAAAUCUCCUAGUUUUACUGUGUGAGGUCCAAUGUGUGCUUAAACUUUAAAUAAGGUUUCUUUUAUGUACGCAGGUGCCCUUGUAUUUGGAGCAUAGAUAUUUAGGAUUGAGAGUUCAUCUUGGUGGAUUUUUCCUUUGAUGAAUAUGAAGUGUCCUUCCUUAUUGUUCUUGAUGACUUUUGGUUGAAAAUCGAUUUUAUUCGAUAUCAGAAUGGCUACUCCAGCUUGCUUCUUCAGACCAUUUGCUUGGAAAGCUGUUUUCCAGCCUUUCACUCUGAGGUAGUGUCUGUCUUUGUCUCUGAGGUGUGUUUCUUGUAAGCAGCAGAAUGCAGGGUCCUCAUUGCAUAUCCAGUUUGUUAAUCUAUGUCUUUUUAUUGGGGAAUUGAGUCCAUUGAUGUUGAGAGAUAUUAAGGAAUAGUGAUUGUUGCUUCCUGUUUUAUUCGUAUUUCGAUGUGAGAUUAUGCUUGUGUGCUUUUCUUCUCUUUGCUUUGUUGCCAAGAUGAUUAGUUUCUUGCUUUUUCUAGGGUGUAGCUUGCCUCCUUAUGUUCGGCUUUACCAUUUAUUAUCCUUUGUAGGGCUGGAUUUGUAGGAAGAUAUUGUGUAAAUUUGGUUUUGUCGUGGAAUAUCUUGAUUUCUCCAUCUAUGUUAAGUGAGAGUUUUGCUGGAUACAGUAACUUGGGCUGGCAUUUGUGUUCUCUUAGGGUCUGUAUGACAUCUGUCCAGGCUCUUCUGGCUUUCAUAGUCUCUGGUGAGAAGUCUGGUGUAAUUCUGAUAGGUUUGCCUUUAUAUGUUACUUGACAUUUUUCCCUAUUGCUUUUAAUAUUCUUUCUUUGUUUUGUAUAGUUGGUGUUUUGACUAUUAUGUGACGGGAGGAGUUUCUUUUCUGGUCCAAUUUAUUUGGAGUUCUGUAAACUUCUUGUAUGUUUAUGGGCAUCUCCUUCUUUAGGUUAGGGAAGUUUUCUUCUAUGAUUUUGUUGACGAUAUUUACUGGUCCUUUGAGCUGGGAGUCUUCACUCUCUUCUAUACCUAUUAUCCUUAGGUUAGAUCUUCUCAUUGUGUCCUGGAUUUCCUGUAUGUUUUGGACCAGUAGCUUUUUCCAUUUUCCAUUAUCUUUGACAGUUGCGUCGACGAUUUCUAUGGAAUCUUCUGCUCCUGAGAUUCUCUCUUCUAUCUCUUGCAUUCUGUUGGUGAUGCUUGUAUCUACGGCUCCUUGUCUCUUCCUUUGGUUUUCUAUAUCCAGGGUUGUCUCCCUUUGUGAUUUCUUUAUUGCUUCUAUUUCCAUUUUUAAUUCCUUCACCUGUUUGGUUGUGUUUUCCUGGAAUUCUUUCAGGGAUUUUUGUGAUUCCUCUCUAUAGGCUUCUACUUGUUUAUUUACGUUUUCCUGCAUUUCUCUAAGGGAGUUCUUUAUGUCUUUCUUGAAGUCCUCCAUCAUCAUGAUCAAAUGUGAUUUUCAAUCCUGAUCUGGCUUUUCUGGUGUGUUUGGUCAUUCAGUGUUUGCUUUGUUGGGAGAAUUGAGUUCUGAUGAUGCCAUGUAGUCUUGGUUUCUGUUGCUUGGGUUCCUGCGCUUGCCUCUCACCAUCAGGUUGUCUCUGGUGUUACCUUGUUCUGCUAUUUCUGACAGUGGCUAGACUGUCCUAUAGGCCUGUGUGUCAGGAGUGCUGUAGACCUGUUUUCCUGUUUUCUUUCAGCCAGUUAUGGGAACAGAGUGAUCUGCUUUCGGGCAUGUUGUCUUUCCUGUCUACUGGUCUUCAGCUGUUCCUGUGGGCGUUUGUCCUGAGUCUACCAGGCAGGUCACUUGGGGCAGAAAAGUUGGUCUUACCUCUGGUCCUGGGGCUGAAGUUGCUCCCUGGGGCCUGAGUUUGAGCUCUCUGUGAGGGCGGCAACCGGAAGGGCCUGACCCGCCUUUUCCCCUGGUCCCCUGUGCACAGGGGUCCCAGAUGGGGUUAGGUGUUUUCCUCUGGAAUCAGAAAUGUGGGCAGAGUGUAGUCCCUUCUGGCUUCCCAGGUGUGUCUGCCUCUCUGAAUGUUUAGCUUUCCCUCCCAUGGGAUUUGGGUGCAGUGAGCUGUUGACCGGGUCCCUUCAGAUCUGGGCGGUGUCUGGAAUGCAGGGGAUCUGCUGCUUGACUGCCCCAUCUUCCUGUUCCCAGAAGCCCUAUACAGUUUCUUCUUGGGACAGGGAUGUGGGCAAGGGUGGGCAGUAUUGGUGGUCUCUCCUGGUCUGCAGUCUCAGGAGUGCCCACCUGUCUGGGUGGUGAGCUCUCUCUCCCACGGGGUUUGGGGGCAGGGAGCUGUGGGCCGGGAUCAGUGAGGCUCGGGCUCCAGCUCUAGAUUACUGACUUUUAAAUUAUUGGGUAUGGUUAAAAAUUCGUAACACUGGUAACUGAAAGUUGGCUUAAAACUGGAGUCAUUCUAGACAACAAGUGGCAUGAGUCAACCCAGGGAAACAGGUUUACAUUGAGAUAAUAUUUUUAUGUAAACUCUUUGUUGAUGUAUUAGAGCCUGCACCAUCAUGCAUUCAUAUGCAAGAAUUGGCAGUCAAACUUUAUAGCAUGAGGAAUGGACUUUGGGUUUCAAAGAGACUGGAUUUUUGAGAAUAGCUUGUUUGUUGGAGGUUGAGUUUUGCUUUCCAAUGUUGUGGUGUGUUACAAGGAAAACUUGAAUAUUUCUAACUCACACAUAUUUGUAAAAAAAAACAAACAAACAGGUGGAGAUUGUUACAAGAUUUACAAAGAGUUGAUGAAGCUGUGGAACUUAUAAGAGCAUUACAGCCUUUUUGCUUACUCCAACUGCUAUUUCAAAAAAUACAUGAAUAAUUAUUAUAGAUUUAAAAGAUUGUUUUCAUGCUGUUUCUUUAUAUAGAAAUUUAUUAACUGAUUCCUCCAAAGGAGUUUACUGCAAGCCUUUGCUCUUAUACAACAAGUUUUAACAUUUGGGGAGUAGUUAUUGCUCCAGAAAAGAGUCAAAGGCAAUAUCCUUUAUAAUAUUUGAGACAUCAGUUAUAUCCUAAAUAAAUUGUGACACAGAAAAUUCAAGUAAGAAAAGAUAGUUUACUUUAAAUUAUUUUGAAAGGUUCUAAGAUAUGUUAAUUGGGUAAGACCUCACCUUAAGUUCACCACAGGAGGACUUAAACCUUUGUUUGGUAUCCCCAAGGGGGAUGCAAAUUCUAUUCCCCUAGACAAUUAACUGAGGAGGGACUGAAUAGCUUUGCAGAAGGUAAAGGAAGCUAGAUAUACAAAAUUGUAAGAUUGAGUCAUGGAAGUAUUUUGAAAAAGAACCUGAUGAAACAUACCUUAUUCCAAACAGCAAUUUAAUUGUUAUCUAAUGAGAAGGCAACACAUGUAAUUGGACCAUGUUUAUUCUCUUGAGUUUCCCCCUGCUUCAACACAGAUUACUGAAUUACAUGCUGUAGGUACUGUUUUUAAAAUGUUGAAAAAUCAAGCUUUCAAUUCAUAUACUGACAGCCAAUGUGUAGCUUAUGGUUUGCAAUUAAUUAAAAUUUUUCCUUUUUUUAGAUACUGCUAACCAUCGAAUUUUACAAUUAUUUAUGCUAAUACACCUGAUUUAAAAGGAGUAUACUGUUCCUUUAUAGGCCAUUUAAGAACUCAGAUUGGAUUGCCUGGACCAAUUAUUGAGGGCAGUGUCACAAUAGAUUUAUAUACCAGGCAGCUUUUGGGCUUCACAUAGGGACAAUUAGACAAUCUCAUUCUUUAUAGCAUCAAAAUAGUAAUAGCUAGAGACAAUAUUUGAUAUUUCUAGAUUUACUUUUGACUAUUGACACCUUCUGAGACCUUCUGGUUACAAUUGCUUUAACAAGAGAAACAACUAAAAGUCAUUACAUACUUUACAAGGAGUGGGGACAGCUACGGCUCCUCAAAAAAGCAACAAGAUUCUUAUAUGGAGAGAUGAGGAAGAACAUAAGGGAUGGUUUUAGCCUUUUAAAAUAAAUACCUACCAACUUGUGGGGAUGAGUUAUACUCAAUAAUAUGGGGACUGUACGGACAACUCUGCCUGUAUAAAACAGGAUGAAAAAAAGGCUUCGUCCCAGGAAGAGGACUGGACAAAAAUUUACAAGGAUGCUGCAGGAGUGUGCUAGCUGCCAGAGUGGCUGGAGAGACAUGCUGAUGCUAGAACAAAGAAUGAUGUUGAUCUGUGGGCUUGCUAAGUGCCCUGACAAUGGUGACUGGGAAGCUGUUUUGGACGUAUGUUCCUGACCCAUUUUGCUUGCCUACAUCCCAGAUUGGACAAGCUGCCUUGCUUCAAGCUUUUAGACCUUGUGAGACAGAGAACAUGGAGACUGGAAACUGCCUUCAGAAAAUCAAAGAAAAGUUAUGACUCUUCUCUUUCCUUUAAUGUGACAAGUUAUUUUGACUCAAUCAUAGACUGGUCAAUCCAAUAUUGGGAACAACAGUUUUCAUUUGGAAGAUUGGUUCUGGACAUUUUCAGAGACAUUUAAAAAUUCACAAUUGUCUUGUAUGAAGUUACAUUUACAGUGGGAAAAAUUGAUACAGGAUCUAGAUUUUUGAACAAAUGUUAGUACAUGUGUUUAAACUCCUAAUCUUUUAUCUAUUGGUCAUGUUAAAGUUACUUUUGUAUCUUCUACAAUAUUUAAUAUAAGUUAUAUUGAUUGUA